GUAGCUCAAUGGUAAAGCACUUGCCUAGAAUGCAUGAGGCCCUGGAUUCAAUUCCCAGC
rnacentral:tRNA from 1 species